UACGGGGGGGGCAAGCGUUGUUCGGAAUUACUGGGCGUAAAGGCUCGUAGGUGGCCAACUAAGUCAGACGUGAAAUCCCUCGGCUUAACCGGGGGACUGCGUCUGAUACUGGAUGGCUUGAGUUCGGGAGAGGGAUGCGGAAUUCCAGGUGUAGCGGUGAAAUGCGUAGAUAUCUGGAGGAACACCGGUGGCGAAGGCGGCAUCCUGGACCGACACUGACACUGAGGAGCGAAAGCCAGGGGAGCAAACGGG
rnacentral:rRNA from 1 species